rnacentral:rRNA from 1 species
UGAGCAAUCUGCCCUUCUCUUCGGAAUAAGCGUUGGAAACGACGUCUAAUGCCGAAUACGACCUCCUUUCGCAUGAUCGGAGGUGGAAAGCUCCGGCGGAGAAGGAUGAGCUCGCGGCCUAUCAGCUAGUUGGUGUGGGUAAUGGCCCACAAGGCGACGGACGGGUAGCCGGCCUGAGAGGGUGACCGGCCACACUGGGACUGAGACACGGCCCGAGACCUCCGUACGGGGAGNAGCG